rnacentral:rRNA from 1 species
GAUGAACGCUGGCGGCGUGCCUAAUACAUGCAAGUCGAGCGAACGGACGAGAAGCUUGCUUCUCUGAUGUUAGCGGCGGACGGGUGAGUAACACGUGGAUAACCUACCUAUAAGACUGGGAUAACUUCGGGAAACCGGAGCUAAUACCGGAUAAUAUUUUGAACCGCAUGGUUCAAAAGUGAAAGACGGUCUUGCUGUCACUUAUAGAUGGAUCCGCGCUGCAUUAGCUAGUUGGUAAGGUAACGGCUUACCAAGGCAACGAUGCAUAGCCGACCUGAGAGGGUGAUCGGCCACACUGGAACUGAGACACGGUCCAGACUCCUACGGGAGGCAGCAGUAGGGAAUCUUCCGCAAUGGGCGAAAGCCUGACGGAGCAACGCCGCGUGAGUGAUGAAGGUCUUCGGAUCGUAAAACUCUGUUAUUAGGGAAGAACAUAUGUGUAAGUAACUGUGCACAUCUUGACGGUACCUAGUCAGAAAGCCACGGCUAACUACGUGCCAGCAGCCGCGGUAAUACGUAGGUGGCAAGCGUUAUCCGGAAUUAUUGGGCGUAAAGCGCGCGUAGGCGGUUUUUUAAGUCUGAUGUGAAAGCCCACGGCUCAACCGUGGAGGGUCAUUGGAAACUGGAAAACUUGAGUGCAGAAGAGGAAAGUGGAAUUCCAUGUGUAGCGGUGAAAUGCGCAGAGAUAUGGAGGAACACCAGUGGCGAGGGCGACUUUCUGGUCUGUAACUGACGCUGAUGUGCGAAAGCGUGGGGAUCAAACAGGAUUAGAUACCCUGGUAGUCCACGCCGUAAACGAUGAGUGCUAAGUGUUAGGGGGUUUCCGCCCCUUAGUGCUGCAGCUAACGCAUUAAGCACUCCGCCUGGGGAGUACGACCGCAAGGUUGAAACUCAAAGGAAUUGACGGGGACCCGCACAAGCGGUGGAGCAUGUGGUUUAAUUCGAAGCAACGCGAAGAACCUUACCAAAUCUUGACAUCCUUUGACAACUCUAGAGAUAGAGCCUUCCCCUUCGGGGGACAAAGUGACAGGUGGUGCAUGGUUGUCGUCAGCUCGUGUCGUGAGAUGUUGGGUUAAGUCCCGCAACGAGCGCAACCCUUAAGCUUAGUUGCCAUCAUUAAGUUGGGCACUCUAAGUUGACUGCCGGUGACAAACCGGAGGAAGGUGGGGAUGACGUCAAAUCAUCAUGCCCCUUAUGAUUUGGGCUACACACGUGCUACAAUGGACAAUACAAAGGGCAGCGAAACCGCGAGGUCAAGCAAAUCCCAUAAAGUUGUUCUCAGUUCGGAUUGUAGUCUGCAACUCGACAACAUGAAGCUGGAAUCGCUAGUAAUCGUAGAUCAGCAUGCUACGGUGAAUACGUUCCCGGGUCU